AGAGGGACCCUGGAGACACAGUGCCCCAAUUCAGAAGCACCGUGACAAUGGCAGCGAGCUUCUUGAGAGUGAAGAACAGAUCAUGUUCGCCUUGGUGUACCCAGCAUUGGCUGACAAAAGGAUAGGGGGUAAGCCUGUUACUGGAAGCUUAAUUGAAAAUUCUGCUGGCUAGAUGCUGCCUCUUACCCUCUCCUACACAGACAAUCCUAUUAUCCCCAACCUCCCCUGCAUCAUCUGUACUGCAAGCACAGAGACCAAUCAUGGAUCAGGUGGACUUUCUUCCCCCAAAAAGAACAUCAUUUAACAUUUAACAUACUAACAAGGUGACUUUCUGUUCCUCUGAGCAAGGCUCUUCCUCCCUUGGGUGCUCAGUUGAAUUACCUGUGAAGGUGAGUAUAAAUAUGCUCUAUCUGCCCAAAGAGAAGGCAGUUACCAGUUCACCUCUGAAGGUACACUCACUCCAAGAAUCCAGGAUUGUACAGUGAUUUAUGAACUUAGAGUUUCCAAACCACUAGAGCAGAAUUUAUGUGCAAGACAAAUGGACCAAUCACGUGCAAAAAGAACUUGUUCUUAAUGUGAGUGAUGAAAUUCAUUAAAUAAAGGAAACUCUUUUUAAUUGGUA